AAGCAAGUCACAGAGACACGCAGCCAGGACAGAGUCUAUGUCUCCGCCAUUGUUUUACAGUCUCGUGCGGAGGCUUGGGAGGCAGGGAGAGUUGGAGUCACUGCUGUGCCCUGGCCGCCCUGUGUCACCGACAUGCUAUGUGACUUCUCUAAGGGACAUCCCCUCCGCUUCUGUAAGGGGAGAUGGCUAUGUGACAGGCACUGGGCUGGGUGGCCACCAGGGAAUUGCCCUAUUUUCAUCAGGACAGCAAGCAGCAACCCAAGAAGCAGCAGUUUCAGCAGUGGAGUCAGAAUGCACAGCCUAACAACAUAUUCCUGCUCAGACAGUAAACUUCUUAGCAUUUCUUUAUUUUAUGUGAAUCUUGCCUGUGACCAGUCUCCACCACUGGAUGAACAGAGCCGUGCAGAAGUGCUGUGGGAGUGAGCA
rnacentral:lncRNA from 1 species